UGUCUCGUGAGGUAUGCUCUGCGCAUGUCCAAGAAGACGGUGGGCUCAUUUUGCCACUCAUAGCAAGCCUUCUGGAAAGUAUCUUCCUCAACGAGCAUUUGGGAUUGGAAGCAUCUGUCACCCGGUCUAAGGCUGUAAGGCAAGAAAACUAAAGGGAAACAACCAUGACAAAUAUUUUACUGAUCUGCUUUUGUUUACUGGUGUUGAUAGAUCCAACUUCAACUACAUCAUCCACUACGGUAUCAGUAACUACAUCACA
rnacentral:sRNA from 1 species